rnacentral:rRNA from 1 species
AUGGACCGUUUUAAGGCGGCUCUAGAGGUGUGUGAGCUACGAGAUCUCGGCUUUGUGGGGGACACCUUCACUUGGCGAAAUCACAGUCAUGAUGCUUCCUGGUACAUUAAAGAAAGACUGGAUAGGGCGGUCGACAUGCAGACUUGGUGCAACAGAUUCCCAGCAUUCCGUGUCAUCAAUGGAGACCCUCGGCACUCGGAUCACCGCCCGAUAAUUAUUGAGCUGCAGGGAGCUGCUAAGCUAAGAAGGGGGUCGGCGAGGAGUUUGGAGCCCAGAUUUGAAGCGAGAUGGCUUGAAGAGGAGAUGUGUCGAGAAUUAGUUCGAAACAAGUGGGAGAGAGAGAUGGCGGGCAGUGACAAGAAGGUAGCAGAGGUGACAAGAGGAGUGAUGACAGACCUUGUUGAUUGGAGUAGAAAUAUCCUGGGGGACCUAGAUAAGAGAAUUUGCAGAACAAAGGAGUUAGAGCGGUGUAGACGUGGUAACAUUGGGCCGGAGCAAGUUAGGAGGGAGGAGGUGUUGCGAUUCAUGCUGAACCGGUUGGAGGAGCAAAGAGAAACCUAUUGGAGGCAACGGGCACAUGUACAUUGGUUGAAGUGCGGGGAUAGAAACACAAAAUUCUUCCAUGCAGCAGCCUCAGAGAGAAAGCGAAGGAAUAAGAUUAGAAGGUUGAAGAAGGAGGAUGGAACGGUGGUGGAGGAAGAGGGGGCCAUGAAAGAUGUGGUGACUAACUAUUUUUUGAAUCUUUUUACCUCCCAUGCAGGUACGAGGACGGAGGAGCUCUUGGGUCACGUUGACCCUCGAGUGACUCCGCAAAUGAAUGCCUUACUCGGCGAGGCGUUCACAGAAAAGGAGGUAGUUGACGCCUUGCAAAGUAUUGGAGACCUAAAGGCCCCGGGUCCGGAUGGUAUGCCAUCUAUCUUCUAUAAAAAAUGUUGGGAUAUUGUGGGAGAGAAUGUGAUUACUGAAGUUCUGUGUGUGCUUAAUGGGGGUCCUAUGCCUCAAGGUUGGAAUGAUACAUGUGUUGUCCUCAUACCGAAGGUGCUUAAUCCGGAGAGCAUGAAGGACUUGAGGCCCAUUAGUCUGUGCAAUGUGGUGUAUAAACUCAUCUCGAAGAAUAAGAGAACGGGAAAAGAUGGCUAUGUUGCGGUGAAGUUAGAUAUGAGCAAGGCAUAUGACAAGGUGGAGUGGGACUUUUUGGAGAAGAUGAUGUACCAGCUCGGCUUUGAGGAGAGGUGGAUUAAGCUGGUAAUGCUAUGUAUCUCCACUGUGUCAUACAAGUUUAAGGUGAAUGGAGAAUGCACGGAUGUGGUGGUGCCCCAAAGAGGUCUCCGUCAAGAUGACUGUUUGGUACUUAUGAAAGCUUCGCGAGAGAGUGCCAUACAUCUGCAGAACGUGCUAAAUCUGUAUGAGGUGUGCUCGGGACAGAGUGUGAACUACGACAAGUCUUCCGUUAUGUUCAGCAAGAACACAGGUGCAGUGCAGAAACAACAGGUGCUAGCAGAGUUGCAAAUUGGAAAUGUGACCAGAUCAGAGAGGUACUUGGGGCUGCCGGUGUAUGUGGGCAGGAACAAAACCAAAAUGUUUGAAUACUUAAAGGACCGCAUGUGGAAUCGAAUCCAAGGCUGGUUGGAAAGGCUAAUGUCGAAGGCAGCCAAAGAUGUGCUCAUAAAAGCUUGUGCCCAGGCAAUACCCACUAUCGGGGAUAUACCCCGUGGUAUGACCCGGCCGGAAGUAUGA